rnacentral:rRNA from 1 species
UACGUAGGCAGCGAGCGUUGUUCGGAGUUACUGGGCGUAAAGGGUGUGUAGGCGGUCUUUUAAGUUUGGUGUGAAAUCUCCCGGCUUAACCGGGAGGGUGCGCCGAAUACUGAGGGACUAGAGUGCGGGAGAGGAAAGUGGAAUUCCUGGUGUAGCGGUGAAAUGCGUAGAUAUCAGGAGGAACACCGGUGGUGUAGACGGCUUUCUGGACCGUAACUGACGCUGAGGGACGAAGGCUUGGGUAGCAAUAAGG